rnacentral:rRNA from 1 species
GAUGAACGCUGGCGGCGUGCCUAAUACAUGCAAGCCGAGCGAACAGACGAGGAGCUUGCUCCUUUGACGUUAGCGGCGGACGGGUGAGUAACACGUAGGUAACCUACCUAUAAGACUGGGAUAACUUCGGGAAACCGGAGCUAAUACCGGAUAAUAUUUUGAACCGCAUGGUUCGAUAGUGAAAGAUGGCUUUGCUAUCACUUAUAGAUGGACCUGCGCCGUAUUAGCUAGUUGGUAAGGUAACGGCUUACCAAGGCAACGAUACGUAGCCGACCUGAGAGGGUGAUCGGCCACACUGGAACUGAGACACGGUCCAGACUCCUACGGGAGGCAGCAGUAGGGAAUCUUCCGCAAUGGGCGAAAGCCUGACGGAGCAACGCCGCGUGAGUGAUGAAGGUCUUCGGAUCGUAAAACUCUGUUAUUAGGGAAGAACAAACGUGUAAGUAACUGUGCACGUCUUGACGGUACCUAAUCAGAAAGCCACGGCUAACUACGUG